GGGAGCGCAUCCGAGCUGGUGUUCGGCCUGGUCUUCAAAACCUGUGGGGUUCCGCCUCGAGUGGGGCCCGGUGGGUUCGAUUCCCAUGCGCUCCCGCCA
rnacentral:tRNA from 1 species